AGGACGAACGCUGGCGGCGUGCUUAACACAUGCAAGUCGAGCGAGGCCCGUCCUUCGGGACGGUGCCCUAGCGGCGAACGGGUGAGUAACACGUGGGCAACCUGCCCCUAGCACUGGGAUAACUCCGGGAAACCGGGGCUAAUACCGGAUAUGACCUUUGAGGGCAUCCUCUUUGGUGUAAAGGAUUCUGGCUAGGGAUGGGCCCGCGGCCUAUCAGCUUGUUGGCGGGGUAACGCCCACCAAGGCGAAGAUCGGUAGCCGGCCUGAGAGGGCGCACGGCCACACUGGAACUGAAACACGGUCCAGACUCCUACGGGAGGCAGCAGUGGGAAUUUUGCGCAAUGGGGGAAACCCUGACGCAGCAACGCCGCGUGGAGGAUGAAGCCCCUUGGGGCGUAAACUCCUUUCGACCAAGACGAUAAUGACGGUACUGGUGGAAGAAGCACCGGCUAACUCUGCGCCAGCAGCCGC
rnacentral:rRNA from 1 species